UUUCGAUCAUUUAGUUUUCGUUUGUGACGCCGCGCGGUGGGAAAAAUUUGUUCGUGUGUAAAGUGUUUUUCUUUUUGUUUUUUAUGUAAUUGUUAAAUAGUUAAUCGCAGCUUCAAGUGUUUUAAUUACUUAAUAAAGAGUGCUAUUGUGCGUGGCUUAUUAUUUUAAAGCAGUAUAAUGUCAAUAAAUGAAAUAAAAAUGCAGCAUAAAAGUGACGCCUGCAGGCCUGCUGAAAAAAAAUCGUUCGCGUGUGUAUGUGUGAGUGAAGUGCUUGUGAGUAAGAGGAGCAAGGAGAAAAGAAAUGCAAAUGCAAUAACCGCAGCAUAAGAAAAUACUAGGAAAUCCAUUUCUUUUCGAAGUUCGUGACUCCAACUAAGUUUAUUACUGAAAAUUGACAUGAAACCACCCACGCGACGAAACAAAUCCGUUGUGUCAACACAGAAAAGCAGGAAGUGGGGGCAGAGAGGGAGAGAGGGGACAGAAGUGUCUCCGAACUGUUCGACCGCGGGUCGCGAAGCCACUGCACUGCACAUUGAUUCAAUUUACGAGUCUGCGGACAGAGAUAUUGACGAGAUCUUUUUCUGCGGAGAGAGCGAUUUGCUGGUGGUAAAGUGCAUUUCUUUUUUUCGAGAUGUUCCAAAAUGCGGAAAUUCAAAUGCGUGGGACUUUGGCGAGAACGACGAGUAACAUUCAGCUGAGAGUUAUGUUAAUUGUUGACACGUCAAUUUGAAUCACGACUUACACUUGUCUGCCUGCGACGAGGCGACUCGAGAUUAUUUACGAUUCGCCGGGUGAAAAUCGCAAUUAUCAUUUUUUAUUAUGAUUUAAUGGUCCCCAACCAAAAACAAAAAAAAAAAAAACUCGAGAAUGAAGCUGAAGUGAAAUGCUUUCCAUUUAUUUGUUGCCAGUGUUGCAAAAUGCGCUCAGUAAGUUGACUUCAAGAUGGCGCUAGUGGUAAAGAAUUAAAAAAAGUGACAACGAACAAAAUCGGUGUUGAUAAACGCGCUAAGUGAUUUGUGUUAAAGAUGGCGCUACAGUGGCGUCUUGAAUUGAGUGUACGCUAGUGUUAUACGUGAUAUACAAUGAACACCGAAGGAAUAAUUCAAUGAAAGUUGGAAAGGAAUACAUCCCAUAAUUAAUAUUAA